rnacentral:rRNA from 1 species
UGGGGAAUAUUGCGCAAUGGCCGCAAGGCUGACGCAGCGACGCCGCGUGUGGGAUGAAGGCCUUCGGGUUGUAAACCACUGUCGGGGGGGACGAAUACCCGGCCUCGAAUAGGGGACCGGGGGGGACGGUACCCCCAAAGGAAGCACCGGCUAACUCCGUGCCAGCAGCCGCGGUAAUACGGAGGGUGCGAGCGUUGUCCGGAAUCACUGGGCGUAAAGGGUGCGUAGGCGGCUACUUAAGUCGCGUGUGAAAUCCCGGGGCUCAACUCCGGGGCUGCACGCGAUACUGGGUGGCUCGGGCUCGGUAGGGGGGAGUGGAAUUCCCGGGGUGGCGGUAGAAUGCGUAGAUAACGGGAAGAACACCGGUGGCAAGGGCGGCUCGCUGGGCCGAUGCUGACGCUGAGGCACGAAAGCGUGGGGAGCAAACAGG